rnacentral:rRNA from 1 species
CAGCAGCCACGGGAAUACAGAGGGUGCGAGCGUUAAUCGGAUUUACUGGGCGUAAAGCGUGCGUAGGCGGCUUUUUAAGUCGGAUGUGAAAUCCCUGAGCUUAACUUAGGAAUUGCAUUCGAUACUGGGAAGCUAGAGUAUGGGAGAGGAUGGUAGAAUUCCAGGUGUAGCGGUGAAAUGCGUAGAGAUCUGGAGGAAUACCGAUGGCGAAGGCAGCCAUCUGGCCUAAUACUGACGCUGAGGUACGAAAGCAUGGGGAGCAAACAGGAUUAGAGACCCGCGUAGUCCCUGUCUCUUAUAA